rnacentral:rRNA from 1 species
CCUACGGGUGGCAGCAGUGAGGAAUAUUGGUCAAUGGACGCAAGUCUGAACCAGCCAUGCCGCGUGCAGGAAGACGGCUCUAUGAGUUGUAAACUGCUUUUGUACGAGGGUAAACGCAGAUACGUGUAUCUGUCUGCAAGUAUCGUACGAAUAAGGAUCGGCUAACUCCGUGCCAGCAGCCGCGGUAAUACGGAGGAUUCAAGCGUUAUCCGGAUUUAUUGGGUUUAAAGGGUGCGUAGGCGGUCGGAUAAGUUAGGGGUGAAAUCCCGAGGCUCAACUUCGGAAUUGCCUCUGAUCCGGGUGGGGUAGAGAGUAGGUGCGGUAGGCGGAAGGGAGGGGGUAGGGGGGAAAGGGUGAGAG